AUGGCAGCAGGUGAGCCAGCCUGUUCAUCUGCAGGAGCUCGGCAUCAUUUUUUCCUCUUGUGGAAGUAAAGUAGGCUAGUGCUAGCAUGAAGGUAUACACGAAACAUGAAAGUGUUUUCUCUAGUAAUCAUGGUAGAAAAGAGUCACCACCAAACAAUGUCUGUGGAAGAGCACAACAAGGUUUUAAAAGUUCUUUCCUGACUUCUGAACGUACGAAUGGGCCCAUAAUGUGUCUCACCAGAAAAGGUGUUCAGAGGCAGGAUGUUUUUUGUUCUGCAUCAGACAUUCUUGUUGUAUGUUGAAAGCUAACCCUUCUUUAAAGGCUGAAAGUAUAUGACUGUUUGAACAUACAAUGCACUAGUCAUAAUACUUAGCUUAUAGCACUAUAAUCCUUACACUAUUAUGUAGUACUAGCUGAAGGGUAAGAGAAAAUGACAUAUUUGGGGCAGAACUACAAUGAACUACAGGAAGGCCAGAAUAAAUUUGCUCUUGACUAAUGCCUAAUCUGCAGUCCUGAAGAUUCCUUGUUUUUUCCUGAGUAGGGCAUCAGUCUGUUUACCAUAUCUUGUCUUUUUGCUUUUGUUGCACUAGUCUGUCAGACUGUGAGAACACGAAUCCAGCAGCCAAGAUUACUUGUAAUUUUGUCUAGCCAUUGCAAUACGACUUUCUUGCAGAAAACUGUUUUCAUUAUACAUUUUUUUAACAAUGAGUUAGAUCUCUUUAUUACAUGGUAACAAUAACCUUGCUAUAAACUAGUACCUUUUAAUAGCCUUGCUAUAAAAUAUACAUUUUAAAUAUUUUAUGAGCGUGAAGUAAGUCAUCAGUGUUCCAUUCUGUGUUUUGAGUACUCAGCUUGGUCCACAGUAUGGUGCUGUAUUUUGAUGGAAACUCUCCAUUUUGAUAAUUGUGGGCUAUCCUCAUGGAGGUCAUCUCCUCUCAGGUAAGCUGAAGUUGAAUUAGGUUGAAGCAUGAUAGAGCUGCAAUGUGAGAAUUGUCCUACAUUAAAAAGUGAAGCGGAGCUUUUCCAUACAGUGUGCUCUGCCCUUAUAGGCAUAUGAGAAGACUAGGGAGAGCAGGGAUGACCCCAUGGAAAAAUAUUCUGGCCUAUCUCUGUUUGCAAUAAAUUACCCCUUUUUUGUUGCACAUAUGUAGAAUCAAACGCAAAUGCAACAAAUACUAACAAAGAUGAAUGCUGACUUCUACAAGAAUUUUAGGUAAGGUUUUGGUUAAGAAAAAAUAACGACCUGAAGAACUAGAUAUUUGGGGAGGGAAAAAUCAGGGCUCAUUUGUGCUGUUUGUCUCACUGCAGGUCUGAGCUCCUGCAAAGCCUUUUUCAAUUUAUUAUGGGAUUAGCAUCUUGUCCUAGUGAUCUUUCUUUCUUUUAGAUUAAAAAAUCUUUUCCAGUUCCUCUUAAAUGUAGUUAUGAGAGGACAGAACUUCAUAUACCAGCCCUGUUUACCCGCUUAGCAAUUUGCCAGUAACAGGAGUAGCUGUAAAGCUCUAUAUAGAGUGAGAUUUUGAACUAAUUCCAGCAGGUGGAACUAGUGUGUGGCUUAAACGUCUCCCUGGCUGGCCUGGCUCCUAGGUAGUCCGCAGCUGCCAUGUCAGUAUUUGCUGGGCACAGAACCGUUUUUGGAUUUUUCCUGCUCUACACCGCUAACUGCUACCAAGCAGUUAUCUUUUCUUAACCCACUGCCACCUAUGCAUGGGGGCCAGGAAGUGUCUUGCCGCCAUUAGUGUUUUAAUGACCUCUGGGACAGCCAGUUUUAUGCCGCUGGGAUAAUUUACGCCGGCUGGAAAGUUACAUAGUGUUCCUGUAUGCUGUUCGGCCGCUAGGCCGUGUUUCCUGCUGACCUUCCCCCAUUGACGUCAGUGAGUUACAGCAGUAGGGAAUUUGGCCCACUCUCCAUCAAGUGAAGUCAUAGCCCGGCAGUAAUGAUGGCAUUGUCAGAGCUCUCGUGUGCUCAAGUUGUAUUUUGCUAAGGGAUGGAAAUGGUCUGCACCCUUCUUGAGAGCUAGCCCACCCAUUUUUCAAAAGAUGUGAAUGCACUGACCUUGAGAAAUCAGGUUAAUUCAGCCUGCUUUCUGCCUUGGAAAAUACAGCAGGUGCAGAGCGCGGCAGCCUGCAUUCUGCUUGUUAAGCAGGGAUUUGUGCAAAGGCUACGGUCUGACCCUGCUGCAGGGCCUGCACUGGCUGCUGAUCUGUCUCAGGGUGGAUUUUGGAGGUGUGUGUUAAUUUCCAAAGCCCAGCUAUAUGAGAGAUGACCUCUGCCUUGUUGUGUUUCCAAGGCAGUUGAGCAGACAGCCUCUCUGUGAUAAAAUGUUGAGCAAUCCAAGAAAAGACAAACCUUUGCUGACAGCACGGCUACAGUUCUUGUCCUGGUAUUACAGAGCCUGGAUUCAGUAAAUGUCAAAAAUGGAUUUUUUAGUGGAAGCUGGAGAGAUAAUGAUCUGGGCAACGUCUGUUCUGAUGUUAGCUAGGGCUAGGAUCUAGUUCUCAUCCAAGAUAAGACAGCCCUUUUUGAUUGCUUGGUAAAGAAAAAUUACUGGUAUUUCCAAAGAUGUUUAAAAGAAAUGGAAGACAUUUUCUGAAUACAUAUUUUGACAGUAACCAUUUGAAAUUAUGUUUAUAAUGAGAUUGAAGCUUACAAAGUCUAAUAAAAUAAUUUCACGCUGAACAUCCAAAGGAAAAAAAAAAAAAAAAAAAAAGACCAUGUAAAACAUGCUUUCUGCAGCAAUUUCUACAUGAAAUAUUGAAAUAUUAAGCUGAGUGGACCCACAGUGCUUUCAGGCAUGAAACCAACUUAAUUCUUCUGCAGGUACAAAGAGCAUUUUCUUCAUUUUAGUUUAUUCAGUUAGCACAGUCCAACCAGUAAGGCUAAUCGACAUUCAGGAAACAGGGAGUCAGAGAAGCAGAAAUUAUCCUAUUUCAAUCUGUGAAUAAAAUGUAGCUGUGAGAGCUCUACUGGUCUAAAAUCUUAUAGACAAAAUAACUGUAAAAUGCCAGUGUGGUUUCUUCACCACAGCUAGUGCUUCCUUUGUGAAGUCAGCAUAAGAAGUGGUUUGUAAGUGUUUGGUUAAAAUUUCUCUUUCUUCCUUAACUGCCCAACAAAUUCAGUUGCAGCUUUAUUUAGCUAUUUAGCCACCAAAAAUGCUGGGCUUGUCAGUUGCAAAUAAAGCUGCUAAAGCUUUUAGAUAACUAAUUACAUCAAUGACCAGAUAGUGCUUUGAUACAAAUCUUUAAUGAAAAUGGAUGAAUUACCUAU